rnacentral:rRNA from 1 species
UACGUAGGUGGCAAGCGUUGUCCGGAUUUAUUGGGCGUAAAGCGAACGCAGGCGGGAAGAUAAGUCAGCUGUGAAAGCCCUCGGCUCAACCGGGGAAGAGCAGCUGAAACUAUAUUUCUUGAGUGCAGAAGAGGAGAGUGGAACUCCAUGUGUAGCGGUGGAAUGCGUAGAUAUAUGGAAGAACACCAGUGGCGAAGGCGGCUCUCUGGUCUGUAACUGACGCUGAGGUGCGAAAGCAUGGGUAGCGAACAGG